UCCACCAAGAGCUGAUUUAGGCAAAAUCUCCAGAAAAACAUAAAGCUUCAAUAAUGAAUAAAAAAGACCAGAGGAUGCAAAAUUCCACAGGAAUGUCAGAUUUUAUACAACCUCAUAGAGUAAAUGGGAGCAAAGUUAGCAAGAGGUAGAUUGAUUAAGAGUAAUUAUGAAGGGAUGAAAUACCCUCUGACUCUGAAGACACUAAUGUAUUAAUCUGUGGAAUAAGAAAGAACAUACCAGAGGCCUCAUCUGAUGCAACACAGUGCUUACCCUCCUCGGAAUCGAUC
ensembl:lncRNA novel transcript